UACGAAGGGGGCUAGCGUUGCUCGGAAUCACUGGGCGUAAAGGGCGCGUAGGCGGCAGCGUAAGUCGGCCGUGAAAGCGCCGGGCUCAACUCGGCGAGGACGGGCGAGACUGGGCUGCUCGAGCAAGGUAGAGGGCGGUGGAAUUCCGGGUGUAGUGGUGGAAUGCGUAGAGCUCCGGAGGAACACCAGUGGCGAAGGCGGCCGCCUGGGCCUUUGCUGACGCUGAGCCGCGAAAGCGUGGGGAGCGAGCCGG
rnacentral:rRNA from 1 species